AGUCGAACGAUGAUAUCACUGCUUGCAGUGAUUGAUUAGUGGCGAACGGGUGAGUAACACGUGAGGAACUUGCCCAUGAGCGGGGGACAACAUUCGGAAACGGAUGCUAAUACCCCAUAGGUGGAUUGGUCGCAUGACGAAUUCAUUAAAGGUGGCUUUGCUACCACUCAUGGAUAGCCUCGCGGCGUAUUAGCUAGUUGGUAAGGUAAUGGCUUACCAAGGCAGUGAUACGUAGCCGACUUGAGAGGGUGAUCGGCCACACUGGGACUGAGACACGGCCCAGACUCCUACGGGAGGCAGCAGUAGGGAAUCUUCCACAAUGGGUGCAAACCUGAUGGAGCAAUGCCGCGUGAGUGAAGAAGGUCUUCGGAUCGUAAAGCUCUGUUGUUAGAGAAGAACACGUGCUAGGUAACUACUAGCGCCUUGACGGUAUCUAACCAGAAAGUCACGGCUAACUACGUGCCAGCAGCCGCGGUAAUACGUAGGUGACAAGCGUUGUCCGGAUUUAUUGGGCGUAAAGGGAGCGCAGGCGGUCUGUUUAGUCUAAUGUGAAAACCCACGGCUUAACCGUGGAACGGCAUUGGAAACUGACAGACUUGAAUGUAGAAGAGGAAAAUGGAAUUCCAAGUGUAGCGGUGGAAUGCGUAGAUAUUUGGAGGAACACCAGUGGCGAAGGCGAUUUUCUGGUCUAACAUUGACGCUGAGGCUCGAAAGCGUGGGGAGCGAACAGGA
rnacentral:rRNA from 1 species